rnacentral:lncRNA from 10 species
CUUUUUGGCCAUGUGAGGACACAGAGAAAGCACCAUCUGUGAGAAACAGGGCCUCCACUAUAUACUGAACUUGCCACCACCUUGACCUGGGACUUCCCAGUUUCCAGAACUGUGAGAAAUAAAUUUUUUAUGAUUUACCCAGUCUAAGAUAUUUUGUGACAGCAGCAGGAAUGGACUAACAUACUGGGUCUAGCAAAGAGUUCUCAAGAGAUGGGGCCUGGAUGUGUUGCUUAGGCUGUGUGAAACACCUGGUCUUAAGCGAUCCUCUCACCCUGGCCUCCCAAAGCAUUGGGAUUACAGGGAGAAAAGAAUGGGAACUGUGAGGAAAAGAAUGACAUGAACAAUGGGAAGACCAAGGUCCCAGCACAAGUAGUAGAUGCUGAGGAAAGAAGAAGUAUGUUGUGGAGUAAGUGAGUGGGCCUGAGUUGAGAAGAUCCUGGCCUUGGAUUUUAAAACUGUCAGGAAUUGCAUAAAUUCGCUAGAAUCAGAAGUCAGUUGUCCUGAUCUCAGAACAAUUUGGUGUGUACAAAGUCCAAGGUUUGAAAACUCAUCAAGAAGUCAGCAUCCUGCAAGAAUCAGCCACCCAUGCCACACUUUCUAUAGUAACUUCUGUUCUGCAUCAGACUACAUCACUCUGGCUUUCUGGAUCAUUCUAUCAACGAAGAGGUCCUAUUACCUAGGAAACCAUGAAAGGUAAGACCUAUGAUCACAGGUGCUUACAUGCAUGCAAAUGUAAAAGGAAUACUUAAACCCUCACCUAACUUCUUUGGAAGUUUCAGUACACAGUUUUUGUUGAUAGGCAAUUAAGGUGCGUGUGUGAGUGUAGUAUGUGUUUUUGUAAGAAAAAAAGUAGAGGAAAUGGGAGAUAAUUUAGUGUGCUGGAAAGUUAUAGAAUUUGAUAUCUUGUUUUGCAUAGAUGAUGCAUUGUAGGAGUGACAUUAUUGUGAAACUUUGUUCAGUCGGUUUUCCUUCAAGCGAUUUUGGUGCAGUUUUUCCAAUCCAGUGUUAAGGGCAUGACGAUGUAUUUUUCACAAGCUUGUCUAAGAGGAAACUCUGACAGAUUAUGAUGAGGAAAACUAAAUCCACUCAUGUCAUGUAAACACAUAGAAGACUUCUCAGUGGGGUCUCUGCCUUGUACCUCAGAUGCCAAGGGGGAGUUUGAGAUUUGUCAAGUUGUUGACAACUGCCUUAGUCCAUUUUGUGCUGCCAUAACAGAAUGACACGGAUGUGGUAAUUUAUAAUGAACAGAAAUUUACUUCUUGAGGCUGGGAAAUCCAAGGUUGAGGUGCCAGCAUCUGGCAAGGGCUUUCUUAUUGUGUCAUCAUAUGGUGGAAGGCAGAAUGUCAAGAGAGAAGGAGGAAACCAAUUUUACCCUUUUAUAAAGGCACCCAUUCCACAUGUAAGGGUGAAGCCCUCAUGGCCUGCCACCUUUUAAAGACUCCACCUCUUGAUACUGUCACAAUAGCAACUGCAUUUCAGCAUGAGUUCUGGAAGGGACAGUUUCCAAACCAGAGGAGCAAUUGCCUAUCAGAGGUUGCAAGAAAGAGGUAUUUUACUAUUAUUUGAGCUACCAUUUUUAGCUUUAUCCAUACUUUUAGAAAUAGGUGUUUUAUUGAACUCCAAUUAUCCAGUUUGAGAAUGUCAUAAUUUUCUAUUAGGAGUCUGGCUGAUCUAGUCAUUAAAAAAGACACAUAAUAAAUGUAUAAGCAUGUUUUUAAAUGGACAGUUUAUAAGUUAGUUAAUAAUAUUAGUGUUAAUUACUGUUACCACUAAAUAAAUAAACCACUACAUUUUAUGUUCUUUCAACAAUCUGAAAAAAAUAUUUUGUAAAAAAUUACUGUAAUGCAAAAUUUGGCUUAGUUAGCAACAGAGAGGGUAAAUAUCUGCUUUAAAGAUCACAAUGUCUGAUGGCUAUGAAACAGAUGAGAAGUUUUGAGAAGAUGACAUCAAUAUGGUGUUGAUUGGUUUCAUGUGGCUUUGAGCUUUUCUGCCACUGGGAAGAUCACUACUGUACAUAGUUUACAUAUGAUUCAUGUGUGAUGCCAGAUUGCAGCUUCCUUCUUGCUGUAUCUUAAGUGUACUUGGUAUUCUGAUUCAAGAGUGAGAUCUUGAAGCUUUGGCAAAUAGAAUUGCCUAAUUUUCAUUUGUCCACUAAGCAAUGCAUGCAGUUAAAAAAAUGAAAACAAUACCAAACCUCCUUCUUUUGCAGUGAAGGAGCCCAAAACAAGUUACUCUCUUUCCGUCUCUCUCUUUAACUUAGAAUAUUGGUUAUUUUGUAUUCUCACACAUGUAAAAUUCCUUUCCUUUAAUGCAUAUGUUCUCAAUAAAAAAGAAUUUUCCACUGAAUUUCCAGGAAGACUCAACAUAAUUUAAAGAUGGCACCUUACAAAAAGAACUCUCAAUAGACAAGAAGAGGAGGCAGUAAUAAACAAUUAUUUUCAAGACAGAGUUACCUAAAAUCUUUCCUUGGUUUCUUACCGGCUACAGGACACUUUUCAAACUCUUUGGUUUCACUUUGACAAACUUGCUUCUUGCAAUUCUCCUAAGGUUGUGUGUAUACAACCACGUGGGAUGUGGUGAAUUUAGUCGGCCACAAUGUAAUAGUCUCUUCUCUAUACAUAAAAUUAGAUUACUAAAAUCCCUAUGUAAGAAACUUACAAUCCCGCCAGGGAAAAUUAGGAUUGGGGAAAUGAGAUAAUUAGUUAAUCUCUCAAAAAUCUGAUGAACAUAGUUUAUGUUUUCUAAAAUAGAGCCAUGAAAACAGCCCACCAAAUAAUGAGAAUGUCAAUAUCUCACACGUUCCUUCAUUUGGUAAUUAAUAGCAUGGAAUGGAUAUAUAUUAAUUUAUCAUUCUUUGAUCUCCAGUGACUUUUCAGUAUCUCUGUUCUCCUUUUUCCAUAUAUUAAAUACAGAACUUAUACAUUUGUUUUGUUUGAUGGUGUUAAUCUACAGUGCAGAAGAGUCCCUGUGUUUGUCCACUGUCUAAUUUUCAAAGCCUCUCUGAUUUUAUGAUUUUAAUUUACCUUUUAUCAGUGUGGUUUCACCGCAUUUCUGCAGACAUUCAUGUGGAUGCCUGAGCUGAAAAACUAACCUCACGUAGUCUUUAUUUCUCAACUUGCAUUCCCCAGUGCAGGGCCCAGUGGUGCCAAUUCUGAACAUAGUAAAUUUACAAGAAAGCCCUUCCUCACCUAUAACUUCAGGGAUGUUUUCACCCAUAAACCAAAACACUCAAUUGCAAGGUUUGGGGAUAAUCUUCUCCCAGCUCUCUUUCUCUCUCCUACAGUUUCAUUGCAUUGCCUCAUCUCUCUUUUAUCUUUUCCCUUAUGAGUUAUUUCAGCUUCCUUUUCUUAACUUCUAGUUUCCUAUUUCUCUAAUAAUCUAAGUCAGGGAGAAGUGUAAAUUCAUGUGCAUGGAAACUAAAAUUUCCCCGAGGAUAUAAUGUACAGAGUAAAUCCAUCUUCACUAGAAUUUUAGAACUUGAGAUCGGGCAUGUGUGAUUAUUCUACACAUUUUUAAUGGGUCUCUGUGCUUUCACAUGUGAUUUUGCCUCUUCCAAAAACAGUCUUUGUGUUCUUCACCAUCUGGGAAAUGUGUUUUCAUCCAUGUAAACCCAAAUCAAAUGCCAUUUCCUUUAUGGAAAAUUAUCCAGCUUCAUCAGGCAGAAUAAUUAGCUCCUCUGUAGGCAAAUAGCUCCUUGGUCUAUUUUUGCCAAAGCAAGAACAUCUUAUUUUCCAUACCUACUAUGUGCUUGGCAUUGUAUCAGUACACAUUUCUAUUAGUGCAUUCUAGCACUACAUAUUUUCAGGCCUAUCUUAUGUGAUUGGCUUUGAGCAUUUCCAGAGCAAGUAUAUUUUUGCUUCUUAUACCUACCUCAGGAUUUAACAUAGUGGUGUCUGGCAUAACUAGACAUGGUAAGAAUAAAUGUUUGUUGAAUGAAUGAUGUGUGAAUAUUUGAAUGAGCAUAUUAUAUGAGUUGGUAAGACUAUUCAGUUGCUGGAUGUCAAAACUAAUUAACUGAAUGUAUUUUUAUCUUUGGCUUUUUAUUAGCUUGGUUGCAAAUUCUGUGACAACAGAAUCUGUGUCUUUCAUUCUCAUCUUUACACCCCCAGUUCCAGGUACCUGGUGCCCAACAGGCAUUACUGGAUAUCUGUAGAACUUAUGAUUAAAGAAUAAAAGGAUAACAGUGUGGGAUGAAAAUAAUUCAAUCUUUGACCUUUUUUUUUGAGUAGAGACAAGCACAUUAAAUUUGAUUUUUGUUUAGCCCUAAGCAGCAUCGUAGUUCUGUAUCACUUUUAUAAGCAGCUAGACAUGGAAAAGGUAAAAGUAAGGACAGAGGAUGGAGGCAUAACCUAUUCAGAGUCAAUCAUAUGACUUUUGUCUGAAAAAUUCGUACAUAAAAAAAUGAAUGGUUUGAAACAAAAGCGAACUAUUGGAUGGAAGUAAUUUGCACAUUUAAAACCUGUCUCGCAACCAAGUGCAUCAGUUGAUUCUCUGGCAAACUAUUGCUUUGCCUUUUCUUAUCCAAUAUUUGUUUGUUUUUGAAGGAAAAAAGGUAUGUGACUGAGAGGUAAAAUAUAUGUAUUUUUUCACCAUGAAUACUUGUCUUUAUGCAUUUUGUUAAAAUUGUAGUAAUUGAUAAUAUGUAAGCCUGUUUCGUAAUGGUGAUUUUUUUGGUAUGAUAUCUACAGAUACAAAUAGUGCAUGUGUUAAGGAAACUCAUGCACAAACAAAACAGCACAUGCUGUACUCACAGCCAGUUACACAGAAUGCUCAUGCAUGCAUCUGUUGCUUAUUAAUUUUCUUCCUGCUGUUUGUAUCAUUCUUUUGAAGAAUCUCCAGCAAGCUUUGUGCUUUGCCCAAUUGUUUAUAAUGUCUAUAAAUCAGGGGCUUGGACCAAAUGAAAUGUCUUAGUAGUGUUUGCAAAAUAUUUGGAUAUUCUGAUUGCGUUUUAUUUUCCCAGCUUUAGAAAACAUAUAGAUUAGCCUCUGUUGGGAACUUAUAUUCUCGUUACUCCUUGUCUCUUUUCUUUUUUCAGGAAUUGGUCACUCUUUCAGCCAACUCGUAGGUUCAAACAAUGUUUACAUGUAGUGCUCAGUUUGUUUUAACUUCCUGCUGUAGACAUUGACAGUUUUUUCUUCCUAAGAGUCUUAUGAAUAGGCAACAAAACAAAAACAAAAACAGGCAAAGUCCCAAUCUAUUAACUACGUACUUACAAAUCAGGUGAAAGUGCUUGGUGAACAGUCUAUGUUUUAGCAACUGUUUUUUAACGUUUGGUUGUGACAUUUUUUAACAACAGCCAUUGUUCAAUUGUUAAACUAUGUUUGGAUUUGAGGUCUGAAUGAGCUGAAUUCAAAAUAUGGGACUUUUUAUUAGAAACCCUGGUAAAGUGGACACUGGGGAAAAAGCCCAAGAUUUCAUGUGUUUGAUUUAUUGACUAUGUGCGUCAACAGCCUGCUUUUAAUUCUCAGAGUAAAAUAAAAAUACUCAGAAUCUAAG